GUCAAGAACCCCAUGCCUAAAAGGGUAGGAGCUUGCUCAAACGGCUAGAGCAACGCAAGUCUUGAACUAGUGGGCUUUGUUCUUUGGAACAGACAGCAGCGUGAGGGGCUACAAGGACGUACGGACGCCACCCUAAUCCGUACCACUCCU
rnacentral:sRNA from 21 species